rnacentral:rRNA from 1 species
UACGUAGGGUGCGAGCGUUGUCCGGAAUUAUUGGGCGUAAAGAGCUCGUAGGCGGUGUGUCACGUCGUUCGUGAAAACCUGCAGCUUAACUGUGGGCGUGCGGUCGAUACGGGCAUCACUGGAGUUCGGCAGGGGAGACUGGAAUUCCUGGUGUAGCGGUGAAAUGCGCAGAUAUCAGGAGGAACACCGGUGGCGAAGGCGGAUCUCUGGGCCAUUACUGACGCUGAGGAGCGAAAGCGUGGGGAGCGAACAGG